rnacentral:rRNA from 1 species
GGAUGCGAUCAUACCAGCACUAAAGCACCGGAUCCCAUCAGAACUUCGAAGUUAAGCGUGCUUGGGCGAGAGUAGUACUAGGAUGGGUGACCUCCUGGGAAGUCCUCGUGUUGCGUUCC